GACGAACCAUGCAAACGUUAUUCGGAUUCACUGGGCUUAAAGCGUGCGUAGGCGGCUUCGUUAGUCAGGUGUGAAAGCCCUCAGCUCAACUGAGGAAUUGCGCUUGAAACUGCGGGGCUAGAGAAUGAUAGAGGUGGGUGGAACUGAUGGUGGAGCGGUGAAAUGCGUUGAUAUCAUCAGGAACACCAGUGGCGAAGGCGACCCACUGGGUCAUUUCUGACGCUGAGGUACGAAAGCUAGGGUAGCGAAC
rnacentral:rRNA from 1 species